GCUCCUGUGGCCUAGUGGUUAUUGCGUCCGCCUUGGAUGCGGAAGAUCGUGGUUUCGAUCCACGGCCGAGUU